UACAGAGGGUGCAAGCGUUAAUCGGAAUUACUGGGCGUAAAGCGCGCGUAGGUGGUUUGUUAAGUUGGAUGUGAAAUCCCCGGGCUCAACCUGGGAACUGCAUUUGAAACUGCAUGGCUAGAGUAUCGAAGAGGGAAGUGGAAUUUCCGGUGUAGCGGUGAAAUGCGUAGAUAUCGGAAGGAACACCAGUGGCGAAAGCGACUUCCUG
rnacentral:rRNA from 1 species